rnacentral:rRNA from 1 species
GACGGAGGAUGCAAGUGUUAUCCGGAAUCACUGGGCGUAAAGCGUCUGUAGGUGGUUUAAUAAGUCAACUGUUAAAUCUUGAGGCUCAACCUCAAAAUCGCAGUCGAAACUAUUAGGCUAGAGUAUAGUAGGGGUAAAGGGAAUUUCCAGUGGAGCGGUGAAAUGCGUAGAGAUUGGAAAGAGCACCGAUGGCGAAGGCACUUUACUGGGCUAUUACUAACACUCAGAGACGAAAGCUAGGGUAGCAAAUGGG